AUUGAACGCUGGCGGCAGGCCUAACACAUGCAAGUCGAACGGGUGGCGGGCGUGUGAUUAAUGUCUGUGCAACUGCCUGAUGGAGGGGUAUAACUACUGGAAACGGUUACUAAUACCGCAUACCAUCGGAUGUGCCCAGAUGGGAUUAGCUAGUAGGUGGGGUAAAGGCUCACCUCGGCGACGAUCCCUAGCUGGUCUGAGAGGAUGACCAGCCACACUGGAACUGAGACACGGUCCAGACUCCUACGGGAGGCAGCAGUGGGGAAUAUUGCACAAUGGGCGCAAGCCUGAUGCAGCCAUGCCGCGUGUAUGAAGAAGGCCUUCGGGUUGUAAAGCACUUUCAGCGGGGAGGCGUUACCCGCAGAAGAAGCACCGGCUAACUCCGUGCCAGCAGCCGCGGUAAUUC
rnacentral:rRNA from 1 species